UGCCUUCACUCCCAAAAUGCUCUCUAGGUUCUCUCUAAGCUCUAAUCACUUCAGGACUUCUUCGCCGGCUUUAAUGGCCAUUCUAGGCCGGAAACUCAGAUACUCGUUCAUUUAUCACCUCUCCUGGCCUUUGGUUCGAAUAUCGGGAUUUUGUUUUGAGGGUAACUGGACCAGAGGUAUUUUAAUGGGGGUUUCACGGCCGUGUCAGGCUUUUCUCAGGCGAGCUUUUGAAGUCCUGGGUCCUUACCAAGCUCCGAUGAGCCAUCUAGGCUUUUCUCACCAUUUCUGAGGCCUUUGAUGAAAACCCUAAUUGAUUCGAGGUUCUUUCUCCUAUUUCUCUGUAUUAUUUUACAAUCUUCUCUGAGUUUUGUUUGUUUUCUAAGGUUUUUAAGUAUCUCUCAUCUGUUUCUCCACCUAGUCAUGUUUUCAAUAAAAAACUCUUCGUCUUCUCAAGACUUAGGGUUUCCGUUAUUUCUACUUGUUUCAC
rnacentral:lncRNA from 1 species